UCAUGUUUUUCAUAAUGAAAAUUAUCCAUCGCCAUUAUCUAUAUUUAAAAAUAAUUUAGAUUUAUUAGGAUUAACCUACUUUAGAGGUGGAGUAAACAUGAUGAAAAGUAAUUCGAACUGUAAAGAAGAAAAAACACUGCAUCUUAUAUUGGACAAACUUAACCUCAGGUAAUGGCAAGUGGAAGUAAUCUGCACGGCGGGAAGUUGUUGGAUGCGAAAGGCGGAGGACCGCGUACUGUGGAAGGCAUUGGGAAAGGCCUAUGCCCAGCAGUGGGCAGAUAAAAGCUGAUGAUGAUAAUGAUAAAGUGGAAGUAGGUGCUUGUAGGUGCUUGCUUGUAUUUGUAAUUAAAUUAAAAGUGGUCGUACAUGGUUAUAUGUAUAAUAAUGCGAGUAAAGGUCGACAAAAUCUUAAAAUUACAAUUCUUGCCCAGGAGUUGGAUUUGUAGGUUAGACCAGAGUGCAAAAUCUUCUACCAACGUCCACCCCGACUG